GAAAUUGAUCUCCCCGUGCAGAAGCGGGGAUAACCUCAUAAGACGAGAAGACCCUAUGGAGCUUUAGACGCAAGGGCAGAUCAUGUCAAAUACACCCAGCUAAGGGCCCUGAACUAAAUGAAACCAGCCCUGAUGUCUUCGGUUGGGGCGACCAUGGGGAACACAAAACCCCCACGUGGAAAAGGAGUACACCCCUACAUUCCUCUCCUCCUACAAGCUAGAGCGACAGCUCUAAUCAGCAGAAAUUCUGACCAAACUGAUCCGGCAACGCCGAUCAACGAACCAAGUUACCCUAGGGAUAACAGCGCAAUCCCCUUUUAGAGCCCAUAUCGACAAGGGGGUUUACGACCUCGAUGUUGGAUCAGGACAUCCUAAUGGUGCAGCCGCUAUUAAGGGUUCGUUUGUUCAACGAUUAAAGUGCUACGCG
rnacentral:rRNA from 1 species